CAAGUCGCACGAGAAAGCGGGAGCAAUCUCGCAAGUAAAGUGGCGUACGGGUGAGUAACACGUGGGUAAUCUACCUUUUAGUGGGGAAUAACGCUGGGAAACCGGCGCUAAUACCGCAUAAUCUCGAGAGAGGAAAGCAGCAAUGCGCUGAAAGAGGAGCCCGCGGCCGAUUAGCUAGUUGGUAGGGUAAAAGCCUACCAAGGCAUAGAUCGGUAGCCGGCCUGAGAGGGCACACGGCCACACUGGCACUGAAACACGGGCCAGACUCCUACGGGAGGCAGCAGUGGGGAAUCUUGCACAAUGGGGGCAACCCUGAUGCAGCGACGCCGCGUGAGCGAUGAAGCCCUUCGGGGUGUAAAGCUCUUUCGGCAGGGACGAUAAUGACGGUACCUGCAGAAGCAGCUGCGGCUAACUACGUGCCAGCAGCCGCGGUAAUACGUAGGCAGCGAGCGUUGUUCGGAGUUACUGGGCGUAAAGGGUGUGUAGGCGGUUUUCUAAGUUUGGUGUGAAAUCUCCCGGCUCAACCGGGAGGGUGCGCCGAAAACUGGAAGACUAGAGUGCGGGAUGGGAGAGUAGAAUUCCUGGUGUAGCGGUGAAAUGCGUAGAUAUCAGGAGGAAUACCGGUGGUGUAGACGGCUCUCUGGACCGCAACUGACGCUGAGACACGAAAGCGUGGGUAGCAAACAGGAUUAGAUACCCUGGUAGUCCACGCCCUAAACGAUGCAUAUUUGGUGUAGGUCAUUCAGUUGAUCUGUGCCGGAGCUAAUGCGUUAAAUAUGCCGCCUGGGGAGUACAGUCGCAAGGCUGAACUCAAAGGAAUUGACGGGGGCCC
rnacentral:rRNA from 1 species